rfam:Ictidomys tridecemlineatus contig055415, whole genome shotgun sequence.
UGGGCUGUAGCUCAGUGGCAGAGUGUUUGCCUAGCAUGUGCAAGGCCUGGGUUCAAUCCUCAGCACCACAU